rnacentral:rRNA from 1 species
GACAGAGGUGCCGAGCGUUAGGCGGAAUCACUGGGCUUAAAGCGUGUGUAGGCGGACCGUUAAGUACCUUGUGAAAUCCCCCCGGCUCAACCGGGGAACGGCUGGGUAUACUGGCGGUCUUGAGCCAUCCAGGGGCAGUCGGAACAGACGGUGGAGCGGUGAAAUGCGUAGAUAUCGUCUGGAACGCCGAAGGUGAAAACAGACUGCUGGGGGAUGAGCUGACGCUGAGACACGAAAGCCAGGGGAGCGGAACGGGAUUAGAUGACC